rnacentral:rRNA from 1 species
UACAGAGGGUGCAAGCGUUGUUCGGAAUUAUUGGGCGUAAAGCGCGUGUAGGCGGCUUUGCAAGUCGGGUGUGAAAGCCCUCAGCUCAACUGAGGAAGUGCGCCCGAAACUGCAGAGCUUGAGUGCGAAAGAGGGUCGCGGAAUUCCCGGUGUAGAGGUGAAAUUCGUAGAUAUCGGGAGGAACACCGGUGGCGAAGGCGGCGACCUGGGUCGACACUGACGCUGAGGCGCGAAAGCGUGGGGAGCAAACAGG